AUUGAACGCUGGCGGCAUGCUUUACACAUGCAAGUCGAACGGUAACAGGCCGCAAGGUGCUGACGAGUGGCGAACGGGUGAGUAAUGCAUCGGAACGUGCCCAGUCGUGGGGGAUAACUACUCGAAAGAGUAGCUAAUACCGCAUACGAUCUAUGGAUGAAAGCGGGGGACCGUAAGGCCUCGCGCGAUUGGAGCGGCCGAUGUCAGAUUAGGUAGUUGGUGGGGUAAAGGCUCACCAAGCCAACGAUCUGUAGCUGGUCUGAGGACGACCAGCCACACUGGGACUGAGACACGGCCCAGACUCCUACGGGAGGCAGCAGUGGGGAAUUUUGGACAAUGGGCGCAAGCCUGAUCCAGCAAUGCCGCGUGCAGGAAGAAGGCCUUCGGGUUGUAAACUGCUUUUGCACGGAACGAAACGGCUCUGGUUAAUACCCGGGGCUAAUGACGGUACCGUAAGAAUAAGCACCGGCUAACUACGUG
rnacentral:rRNA from 1 species